rnacentral:rRNA from 1 species
GAUGAACGCUGGCGGCGUGCCUAAUACAUGCCAGUCGAGCGAACGGACGAGAAGCUUGCUUUUCUGAUGUUAGCGGCGGACGGGUGAGUAACACGUGGAUAACCUACCUAUAAGACUGGGAUAACUUCGGGAAACCGGAGCUAAUACCGGAUAAUAUUUUGAACCGCAUGGUUCAAAAGUGAAAGACGGUCUUGCUGUCACUUAUAGAUGGAUCCGCGCUGCAUUAGCUAGUUGGUAAGGUAACGGCUUACCAAGGCAACGAUGCAUAGCCGACCCGAGAGGGUGAUCGGCCACACUGGAACUGAGACACGGUCCAGACUCCUACGGGAGGCAGCAGUAGGGAAUCUUCCGCAAUGGGCGAAAGCCUGACGGAGCAACGCCGCGUGAGUGAUGAAGGUCUUCGGAUCGUAAAACUCUGUUAUUAGGGAAGAACAUAUGUGUAAGUAACUGUGCACAUCUUGACGGUACCUAAUCAGAAAGCCACGGCUAACUACGUG